GUUUCGGGGAACAUUGACUUAGAGCAAGCAAGCAAGACCUGCCAGGGCGAAUUUCGCGAGAGCGAGAGACCAAACACGACGCGGCGAAAACGGCUCGCUGUGGCAUUGGCAACGGCAGCGGCUGCGGCCCGUUUUCAGUGAGAGUUCACGGCGGCGGCGAUAAACACGAGCGAAACGCGCGGCAACCGACGAGACAGAGACGGACACAUACCGAGACACCGUACAAUGGCGAAGAGAGCGCGCGCCCCAGUGCUCUCCCACUCCGGCCGCUUUGUGGCCGCGCGCUUUGUCGCUUCGCCCGCAGAGCAGAGCAACACGCAAUAAAAGUUCAAAAACAGUUGAAGUAUACCGCGACGCGAGUAAAAAUCUUUCCUGGCGACGUCGCCGCCGUCCGUUGUGUAGUUGUUGUUGCUUUCGUCGCGAAUUUCGUUGCUGUUUACGGUCUAACAUAAAACAAAAAUGACGAAAAACUGUAAUGUUGGGACAAACUCAAUGCGACAAUGUGCCAUAUUCUGAGACCCCUCGCCCUUUGUUUAAGUUGUCCAAGUUAAUCUGCAAAUCAUGGUGUCAUUUUCGAAUUUCGCUGAAAGGUCUUGCUUGCUCCCCAGAAUAUUCCCAGCUAUUUAGUCGCUACUAUCUAUUAGUCGUAGAAUCAGUACCAGAGGCAGUGGAAAGUAGGCGACAAAAAUAAUCCGAGCACAGGAUGGGGUAAAAUGCUCAUGUAGAACGAAACUACAUCAAACGUCCGAGGACUAGAAAAUCAAACUACUGACAGCAGGAAAAAAUAAAAAAUUAAAUUAAUAAAAAGCAAUUGAAUUUCUGUUUCCACAAGUAGAUGGAAAAAGGAUGGGAACUUGGCUAAACAAACGCGAAAUCUUGGAAGAGACCUGCCAGAAGCAAUGUAACCCCGCUUAUGUUGAUGUAAAAUACCACCCGGCAUAAGCAUUUAUUUAAACUAACUUAAUGAUUUGUAUGAAAUUUUCCUUGUUAAAUGACAUUCAAUACGUCACUUUUAAAUAAAAAGAAUUUAGCAUUA